CAUUAUACUUAUAUGCCACAUUUUAUUUACCCAUUCAUCUGUCAGUGGACAGAUGUCAAUGGACAGAUGAAUGGGUAAAUAAAAUGUGGCAUAUAAG
rnacentral:pre_miRNA from 1 species